GAUGAAGAACGUAGCGAAAUGCGAUAAGUAAUGUGAAUUGCAGAAUUCCGUGAAUCAUCGAAUCUUUGAACGCACAUUGCGCCCCCUGGUAUUCCGGGGGGCAUGCCUGUCCGAGCGUCAUUGCAACCUUCAAGCGCGGCUUGUGUGUUGGGUCUCGUCCCCCGUGGACGGGCCCGAAAGGCAGUGGCGGCGUCCCGACAUGGUGCCCGAGCGUAUGGGAAUCCUCUUCCGCUCGAAUCGGCCCAUGCGGCGCUGGACGUAACCAAAUUUUUUACCGGUUGACCUCGGAUCAGGUAGGGAUACCCGCUGAACUUAAGCAUAUCAAUAAGCGGAGGA
rnacentral:misc_RNA from 1 species